GACGAACGCUGGCGGCGUGCCUAAUACAUGCAAGUUGAGCGCUGAAGGUUGGUACUUGUACCAACUGGAUGAGCAGCGAACGGGUGAGUAACGCGUGGGGAAUCUGCCUUUGAGCGGGGGACAACAUUUGGAAACGAAUGCUAAUACCGCAUAAAAACUUUAAACACAAGUUUUAAGUUUGAAAGAUGCAAUUGCAUCACUCAAAGAUGAUCCCGCGUUGUAUUAGCUAGUUGGUGAGGUAAAGGCUCACCAAGGCGAUGAUACAUAGCCGACCUGAGAGGGUGAUCGGCCACAUUGGGACUGAGACACGGCCCAAACUCCUACGGGAGGCAGCAGUAGGGAAUCUUCGGCAAUGGACGAAAGUCUGACCGAGCAACGCCGCGUGAGUGAAGAUGGUUUUCGGAUCGUAAAACUCUGUUGGUAGAGAAGAACGUUCGUGAGAGUGGAAAGCUCAUCAAGUGACGGUAACUACCCAGAAAGGGACGGCUAACUACGUG
rnacentral:rRNA from 1 species